UGGAGGGGCACUUUGCUAGCUGUGAGGAGGAAGGAUCAGGCUGUUGUGUAAGGGACAGGAAGGAGUUAGCUGGCCCUGCAGAAGGAAAAGGAAUGGAGAGGAGUCAAUGCUGUGUGAAGCUGUCAGAGAAUAUGCACAGACAAGGUUUCUCAGCUGCAGCCAGUUAUCUAGGUACUCAGUGGUAAAACUGGAGGAAAAGGACUUCACCAAGAAUAUUUUCAGGCCUUAUAAGAUGGCUACCUGAAUUUGUGGUGAAAAUCAGUCCACUGGCUGUAUAGUCUGAAAGGAGGAUAGACAAAGCAGAUGUAUGGAUCAGGACAGACUCUAUACAGGAAAUUCCUCACCAGGCUGUGUCUUCUGUAUCUGUGAAUGCACUCUUAAUGUGGACACCAGUGGAAUAACAAAGAAGAAGACGUAAAUACUGUGUGAAUUUAUAUG